rnacentral:lncRNA from 1 species
UGUCUUAUUAAACUGUCUUUAUCUCAAUUCACGGGCUUCACUCUCCAUUUCUCUCCCCCGUCCCAGAGAGGGAGGGGGGAGGGUGAGCGAACGGCUGCGUGGUGUUUAGCUGCCGGCCGGGUUAAACCACGACAGCCUUUUUGGCGCCCAACGUGGGGCCCGAAAGGUUGAGAUAACGGCAGAUCUGAUCAGAGUGUGUUAAACUAAAAUUGGUGUAAGGAUUAGACCUGCUUAAUAGUCACUUGUCAUGAUGCUGAUUGCUUUAAUCUCAACUCUGCUGCGCCUGUUUUCCAAAUUGAGUAUUAUAGUACAUUAUUUUCCGUAUUUUCUCUCUGUAGUGUUGUUUAUCCUCUCUGGGCCCUGGUUUCAGAUCAUUAUGGUACUGAGUAUUAUAGCAAUGGCUUAUGAGACGAUAAGAUAUCUGGUCAUGACUCUAACUUGGUAUUUAUACUCAGUAACAUCGUGGACUCUGUACUUUGGAAACAGUAUCUUGGGAACUAUUAGCAAUUAUACCUAUUGUUUUUCUCCAUUAGAGAGUCAAUCUGUGGAGGGAAAAGGGGAAGAUAAUUUUUCUUACUUGAUUAUUCUCCCUUUCUCCUUCACCACCCCCGUAUCCUCCUGGAUCACUCUGCCUUCCUCCUUCACCACCCUCUUAUCCCCUGAGCUUGUCACAAUAGCUCUCCAAGAUAUUGAAUAUUAUUGGGAUACUCAGAAUACCAUAGUCUUGUUGUUCUGCCUCAUGAAUGCACUUCAGAUUCUGCUUAAAGUUAAACAACUACUUGGGAAGCUCAUCCGGAGAUCUGCCCGGAGGCAGGAUAGUUGUGGGUGGCAGGGAGUAUGGGUGGAUAUGGGCAGGCAUCUAGAGCAGUUGGCACCCCCAGUGUGUUGGAAAUUCACCCCUGAGCAAUGGCAAAAUCCUCAAAAACUGGCAGAAUACUUGAAAAAAAGGUGUCAUGAUGCUGGCAGUUCCAAAGUAACACAAAUCAUUGUAACGUGCUGGGGCCUGGCUCAUGCCUAUCGAGCUGCCAUUGAUACUGCUAUCAACUUAGUGACAGACCCUGCAGCCACUCCAAGCCCUGUGACAGAUCCAACGGCCAC